rnacentral:rRNA from 1 species
UGUGAACUCGAAGAGUAGGGCGGGACACGUGGUAUCCUGUCUGAAUAUGGGGGGACCAUCCUCCAAGGCUAAAUACUCCUGACUGACCGAUAGUGAACCAGUACCGUGAGGGAAAGGCGAAAAGAACCCCGGCGAGGGGAGUGAAAAAGAACCUGAAACCGUGUACGUACAAGCAGUGGGAGCACCUUCGGGUGUGACUGCGUACCUUUUGUAUAAUGGGUCAGCGACUUAUAUUCUGUAGCAAGGUUAACCGUAUAGGGGAGCCGCAGGGAAACCGAGUCUUAACUGGGCGUUAAGUUGCAGGGUAUAGACCCGAAACCCGGUGAUCUAGCCAUGGGCAGGUUGAAGGUUGGGUAACACUAACUGGAGGACCGAACCGACUAAUGUUGAAAAAUUAGCGGAUGACUUGUGGCUGGGGGUGAAAGGCCAAUCAAACCGGGAGAUAGCUGGUUCUCCCCGAAAGCUAUUUAGGUAGCGCCUCGUGAACUCAUCUUCGGGGGUAGAGCACUGUUUCGGCUAGGGGGUCAUCCCGACUUACCAACCCGAUGCAAACUACGAAUACCGAAGAAUGUUAUCACGGGAGACACACGGCGGGUGCUAACGUCCGUCGUGAAGAGGGAAACAACCCAGACCGCCAGCUAAGGUCCCAAAGUCAUGGUUAAGUGGGA